AUGGAAGCUUGUAAACUUAGUGGCGGACGGGUGAGUAACACGUGAGCAACCUGCCUAUCAGAGGGGGAUAACGAUUGGAAACGGUCGCUAAUACCGCAUGACAUAGCAGAAUCGCAUGGUUCUGUUAUCAAAGAUUUUAUCGCUGAAAGAUGGCCUCGCGUCUGAUUAGCUAGUUGGUGAGGUAACGGCCCACCAAGGCGACGAUCAGUAGCCGGACUGAGAGGUUGACCGGCCACAUUGGGACUGAGAUACGGCCCAGACUCC
rnacentral:rRNA from 1 species